UGAGUAAUUUUGGGUUGACAAUAUACAGAAGUGAACUAAAACUCGAUUAUUCAACUCUGUAUAAAAAGUUUGCUUUUGUUGGAAAGCUUUGGAUGGGGAUGUCGGAUCGAAAAAAAGAAAAAAAAAUCAACAUUUUGAUGGUGGUGAGGAAUAUUCAAGCUGUUUUUUUAGAAUAAAAAAGAAUGUAAAUCGAUGAAAAAUCCUCAUUUUUACUUUUCUUCAAGACGAAUGUAUCGCUUCUUAUCAUUUGAACUUCGUAAAGUGAUUGAUUUGGCGGAUGAAAAAUAUCCCUGGAUGGAGCUAUUGGAUGUGCAUCAGCAAACUAUCGAAGGGAUAUAAGUUUUGGUUACCCCGUUCUACUUGGGUUGCCGCAAUAUGCCGUCUGCUUACGUACACUGUGUCGCUACGGAAAAGAAUACCCAAUCAUGAAGAAGGCAAAAAGUAAAUCCUUUGGGGUUGACGAAAAAAAGGAUGACAAAGAUUCUUCCGGUAUUUCUACUAUUUCUACUGGGACGACGAGUAUGAUUAGAAAAAUCGUGCACAAGAACGGCAGCAGAAAACAGCUUCCGAAUUCGGUUACAGCGAAAGCCUGAAUCUGGGCUUCAAGCAACUUCAACGGUGUUGGAUUCUAGAUAAUGGUCCAAAGCGAAACGAGAAGUCGAGAGAGAGUCUCAUGUAUGGUUAUAAGAUGUGAGAUGGACCUUAAAAUGAAACUGAAAUGCUAUCUGAUUUAUUCAUCCCAGUUUUUCCUUAAUUUUUUGAAUUACGCUUGCGGUAAAA